UGGGGAAUAUUGCACAAUGGGCGCAAGCCUGAUGCAGCCAUGCCGCGUGUGUGAAGAAGGCCUUCGGGUUGUAAAGCACUUUCAGCGAGGAGGAAGGUGGUGAGCUUAAUACGCUCAUCAAUUGACGUUACUCGCAGAAGAAGCACCGGCUAACUCCGUGCCAGCAGCCGCGGUAAUACGGAGGGUGCAAGCGUUAAUCGGAAUUACUGGGCGUAAAGCGCACGCAGGCGGUUUGUUAAGUCAGAUGUGAAAUCCCCGGGCUCAACCUGGGAACUGCAUUUGAAACUGGCAAGCUAGAGUCUCGUAGAGGGGGGUAGAAUUCCAGGUGUAGCGGUGAAAUGCGUAGAGAUCUGGAGGAAUACCGGUGGCGAAGGCGGCCCCCUGGACGAAGACUGACGCUCAGGUGCGAAAGGCGUGGGGCAGCAAACAGGAUUAGAUACCCUGGUAGUCCACGCUGUAAAACGAUGUCGAUUUUGGAGGUUGUGCCCCUUGAGGCGUGGCUUCCGGAGCUAACGCGUUAAAUCG
rnacentral:rRNA from 1 species